rnacentral:snRNA from 1 species
AGCUUUGCGCAGUGGCACUAUUGUAGCCAAUGAGGUUUAGCCGAGACGCGAUUAUUGCUAAUUGAAAUAUCUAGAACAUAUGCC